CUGGAAGCCUGGGAGAUUUCUGGGGAACUCCUAGUCUCCCGUCCACACUUGGGAGGUUGAAGAAGCUCCAUUCCUAGGGGCAACGAAGGCUGACAAUCUCGGAGGAUGGUGGCACCUCUGUACUUCCAGUGAACAGCUACAGGAGGUGACCCACAGGAAAGACCAUGGCUGAGACCUACCACAGGUGUCCGGUGACGUCACAGGGACAGUGAUGGCUCCAAUAUGAACUAAAUUCCCAGAGUUUAUUUUCUGGUGACUUUGGAAUCUGAGCUCAUGGUGGUGGCUGGGCCUCAGGGGAGGGCCUCAUAAAAACACAUCUUUAAAACAGCUGAAAAAUAAAGAGGUCAGAGCACGGUCACCCACGUGAAGAGAACUGUAAAAAUGAGCUACCCUCCCUUGGGUGACCCGCUGCAGCCUCCUGCCGGGGGUCACUUGAAAACUCAGGGAGAAGGAACAUAAUUGCAGCCUGGCAGAGCAGGUCAAUGGUGGCCUCUCCCAACAUCCCAGCCUGUUUUCCACCACCUCAUUUCAUCACGCUUCCUGGCACUCAUGAGCUGCUUCUGUAACAAAUACCCACCAGCCAGCAAGAGAGCCAGGCCACCCCACUGCCUCCUGCCUUUGUCUUGAACUCAGCAGAUCUGGUUUCUGCCCCAGGCCCAGCCAAUGCACCUUCACUGUGUGACUUUCCUGGGAUGACUCACCCAUGACUAGGAUCCAAAGUCCAGCUUUGGGGACCAGAGAGCCACUUACAUAAGCAAAGGUGACCAGACAGCAGCUGCAGCACCAGAAACAUCCGCCAUCCCCCACCCCCUCAUCCCACCAGCUUGUGGGGUGGGGAAGACUCAAUUAAAGUUGGGACCCCUCUAGAUCUAA